AUUGAACGCUGGCGGCAGGCCUAACACAUGCAAGUCGAACGGUAACAGGAAGCAGCUUGCUGUUUCGCUGACGAGUGGCGGACGGGUGAGUAAUGUCUGGGAAACUGCCUGAUGGAGGGGGAUAACUACUGGAAACGGUAGCUAAUACCGCAUAACGUCGCAAGACCAAAGAGGGGGACCUUCGGGCCUCUUGCCAUCGGAUGUGCCCAGAUGGGAUUAGCUAGUAGGUGGGGUAACGGCUCACCUAGGCGACGAUCCCUAGCUGGUCUGAGAGGAUGACCAGCCACACUGGAACUGAGACACGGUCCAGACUCCUACGGGAGGCAGCAGUGGGGAAUAUUGCACAAUGGGCGCAAGCCUGAUGCAGCCAUGCCGCGUGUAUGAAGAAGGCCUUCGGGUUGUAAAGUACUUUCAGCGGGGAGGAAGGGAGUAAAGUUAAUACCUUUGCUCAUUGACGUUACCCGCAGAAGAAGCACCGGCUAACUCCGUGCCAGCAGCCGCGGUAAUACGGAGGGUGCAAGCGUUAAUCGGAAUUACUGGGCGUAAAGCGCACGCAGGCGGUUUGUUAAGUCAGAUGUGAAAUCCCCGGGCUCAACCUGGGAACUGCAUCUGAUACUGGCAAGCUUGAGUCUCGUAGAGGGGGGUAGAAUUCCAGGUGUACGCGGUGAAAUGCGUAGAGAUCUGGAGGAAUACCGGUGGCGAAGGCGGCCCCCUGGACGAAGACUACGUCAG
rnacentral:rRNA from 1 species